UAGGGAAUCUUCCGCAAUGGGCGAAAGCCUGACGGAGCAACGCCGCGUGAGUGAUGAAGGUCUUCGGAUCGUAAAACUCUGUUAUUAGGGAAGAACAAAUGUGUAAGUAACUAUGCACGUCUUGACGGUACCUAAUCAGAAAGCCACGGCUAACUACGUGCCAGCAGCCGCGGUAAUACGUAGGUGGCAAGCGUUAUCCGGAAUUAUUGGGCGUAAAGCGCGCGUAGGCGGUUUUUUAAGUCUGAUGUGAAAGCCCACGGCUCAACCGUGGAGGGUCAUUGGAAACUGGAAAACUUGAGUGCUGAAGAGGAAAGUGGAAUUCCAUGUGUAGCGGUGAAAUGCGCAGAGAUAUGGAGGAACACCAGUGGCGAAGGCGACUUUCUGGUCUGUAACUGACGCUGAUGUGCGAAAGCGUGGGGAUCAAACAGG
rnacentral:rRNA from 1 species